ensembl:lncRNA
AUGAGGUCAGUGUUCGUGGGGUUGGUGCUGUUUGCUCUCGUUCCUCUGAAUGAUGCCGCCUGCUUCACGGCGUUGCUGAAAAGAGGCGCCACUCAUUGUCAGGACCUCUUAGAUAAGACCUGGCAUCCUGUGGGAUCCUCCUGGACCAACAGCAAAUGUGAUCAGUGUGACUGCAGUGCUGAUGGAAUGCGCUGCUGUGAUGGAUUGCCAUCUGUGUGGUUCACUAAAGAUUGCACUGUGGAGUACAAUUAUGACACAUGCACAUUUGAAGUGUUUAAAACGAGCGACAGGACUGCUCCAUGCUCUUUCAGCGCUGUUGGAAAGUGAUAAAAAAAGACAGCAAGUGAAGGCAGAGUUGAGCGAUUCUGUACGUUGGUGGAGAUAAUGAAUCUAACCAGCACUCAGAGCUGCAGCACACGGCAGUAGUGAAGUGCACAGUGAUUUACAUUCAAAAGCAGAAGUAUUGUAGUCCUGCUGCAAAAUAUAACUAUAGCCAUUAAUGAUCGACUGAAGAUGCACAUGUAAAGUACAGUGUAAUAAAACAUUCCCAACUUUCAGUUAUUCUCCAGGGUAUACUUUCGUUUUUCCAUCAUACAACCAGAUCAUAUAGCAGAUUAUUCAGUAACUGCAUUAAAUAAAUGUCAUUUUUAAAUGUUUUUUGUAAAAGCUCCCCUCAAAUGAACAGAAAAUGUGUUUUAUGAUCACAUAUAUUGCUAUAUGCUUACAUUUUACUACCGAAACACAAAAAUCUUAAUUGCUCUUCGUAUUUUUUAUCAAAUACAUUUUUACAGAGCAGAUCACUGAAGAGAC